UCAAAUAGUGAAUAUCAGCACAUUAAUUUUGUGUGUGUGUCUGUGUGUGUAUAGGUCAAGGAGCUGCAUCAGCAGGCCAGUAGAGGAGUGACUGAGAGAACUAGAACUAUAGCAGAGAUCAAUGAGGAGCUUGAGAAAGUGAAGCAGGAGAUGGAUGAGAAGGGCAGCAGCAUGUCAGAUGGAGUUCCAGUAGUAAAGAUCCGGCAGAGUCUGACUAAGUUAAAGCAGGAGAUCCAGGAGAUGGAUGUGCGCAUGGGGGUUGUGGAACAAACACUGUUGCAGGCCAAACUCAAGGAAAAGAGCAACAUGACCAGAGACAUGCAUGCCACACACAUCACAGAGAUUACUACACACACCUACUCAUAACCACACACAGAAUACACACAAUACAGUGAGGGGAAAAAUUAUUUGAUCCCCUGUUGAUUUUGUACAUUUGCCCACUGACAAAGAAAUGAUGAGUCUGUAAUUUUAAUGGUAGGUUUAUCUGAACAGUGAGAGACAGAAUAACAACAAAAAA